rnacentral:lncRNA from 1 species
UGGGCUUGAGCGCGCGCAGAAGUCAGCUUCGUGACUUCCUUCUCAGGAUGGAACCAGCUUGGUGGCUUGAGGCUUAGCUAAGGGAGCAGAAGACUAACCGUGGUCACUACACAGGCUCUCAAAAUCCUUGCAGCAGUUCCCAAACUCUUGGCAGCGGGCAUUGCAGUGACAUUGGUGGUGCUUGUCAAAGGCUUCGUAGCAGCGGCCCUGGCAGGAGGAAAGGGGUUCUGAGUUGCAAAUCAGAAACUUGAAGAUGAAAUGGCUACUACGCUGGGUAUUGCCUUUAUCUUGAAUGCCAGCCUGAUGGUCCAAGGUGAACAAGCCUUCCUGUGUUUUCUGAAUGUGCAGUUCCCCCGCACUUUGCCUGCCACCAUGUAAGAUGUGUCUUUGCGCCUCCUUUGCCUUCCACCAUGAUUGUGCGGCCUCCCCAGCCAUGUGGAACGGUGUCUGGGGUCUGUCAGGAUCAACAGGCCUUGAGAGAGACUGACCCAGAGGACUACUAAAAGGGACACCUGCCCAGGCCAGCCUAUUCUACCAUCCUCGUUCUCCUGCAAAACCAAGGCCACGUCAUUUCAGCAGAGGACCUGCGUGUGGAAGGACCCUGCAGCUGGCCCAUCACAGGAGAGGCCCAGACUCACCUCCCAAGGGGACCCUGGCACAUGAAGAUGCUGGUUCUCCUGGGAGUGCUGCCCUGGCCCACAGGAUAGAAGCGCAGGAUGGUCACCCAUGUCUGCUCUUAUUGAAUGUGUCUUAGAAGCGGCUCCAUGUGUGAUUUCUUUCCCACAUUGGCUCAAAAGCCAUCCUGCCCGAGACUGGGGCAGCUGGGAGACCACCGGGUGGCUG